rnacentral:rRNA from 1 species
AGAGUUUGAUCCUGGCUCAGGAUGAACGCUAGCGACAGGCUUAACACAUGCAAGUCGAGGGGCAGCGUGGAGGUGGCAACACCACCCGACGGCGACCGGCGCACUGGUGAGUAACACGUAUGCAACCUGCCCCCUACAGGGGAAUAACCCAGAGAAAUUUGGCCUAAUGCCCCGUAGUCCGCGGCGCGGCAUCGCGCUGCGGGGAAAGACGAGUCGGUAGGGGAUGGGCAUGCGGCGCAUUAGCUGGUUGGCGGGGCAACGGCCCACCAAGGCUACGAUGCGUAGGGGUUCUGAGAGGAAGGUCCCCCACACUGGUACUGAGACACGGACCAGACUCCUACGGGAGGCAGCAGUGAGGAAUAUUGGUCAAUGGGCGGGAGCCUGAACCAGCCAAGUCGCGUGCGGGAGGACGGCCCUACGGGUUGUAAACCGCUUUAGCCGGGGAGUAACGUGCGGCACGCGUGCCGCAGUGAGAGUACCCGGAGAAUAAGCAUCGGCUAACUCCGUGCC